rnacentral:rRNA from 1 species
AAGGCUCGUCCGCUCUGGGUUAGUCGGGUCCUAAGCUGAGGCCGACAGGCGUAGGCGAUGGAUAACAGGUUGAUAUUCCUGUACCACCUAUAAUCGUUUUAAUCGAUGGGGGGACGCAGUAGGAUAGGCGAAGCGUGCGAUUGGAUUGCACGUCUAAGCAGUAAGGCUGAGUAUUAGGCAAAUCCGGUACUCGUUAAGGCUGAGCUGUGAUGGGGAGAAGACAUUGAGUCUUCGAGUCGUUGAUUUCACACUGCCGAGAAAAGCCUCUAGAUAGAAAAUAGGUGCCCGUACCGCAAACCGACACAGGUAGUCAAGAUGAGAAUUCUAAGGUGAGCGAGCGAACUCUCGUUAAGGAACUCGGCAAAAUGACCCCGUAACUUCGGGAGAAGGGGUGCUCUUUAGGGUUAACGCCCAGAAGAGCCGCAGUGAAUAGGCCCAAGCGACUGUUUAUCAAAAACACAGGUCUCUGCUAAACCGUAAGGUGAUGUAUAGGGGCUGACGCCUGCCCGGUGCUGGAAGGUUAAGAGGAGUGGUUAGCUUCUGCGAAGCUACGAAUCGAAGCCCCAGUAAACGGCGGCCGUAACUAUAACGGUCCUAAGGUAGCGAAAUUCCUUGUCGGGUAAGUUCCGACCCGCACGAAAGGCGUAACGAUUUGGGCACUGUCUCAACGAGAGACUCGGUGAAAUCAUAGUACCUGUGAAGAUGCAGGUUACCCGCGACAGGACGGAAAGACCCCGUGGAGCUUUACUGUAGCCUGAUAUUGAAAUUCGGCACAGCUUGUACAGGAUAGGUAGGAGCCUUUGAAACGUGAGCGCUAGCUUACGUGGAGGCGCUGGUGGGAUACUACCCUAGCUGUGUUGGCUUUCUAACCCGCACCACUUAUCGUGGUGGGAGACAGUGUCAGGCGGGCAGUUUGACUGGGGCGGUCGCCUCCUAAAAGGUAACGGAGGCGCUCAAAGGUUCCCUCAGAAUGGUUGGAAAUCAUUCAUAGAGUGUAAAGGCAUAAGGGAGCUUGACUGCGAGACCUACAAGUCGAGCAGGGUCGAAAGACGGACUUAGUGAUCCGGUGGUUCCGCAUGGAAGGGCCAUCGCUCAACGGAUAAAAGCUACCCCGGGGAUAACAGGCUUAUCUCCCCCAAGAGUUCACAUCGACGGGGAGGUUUGGCACCUCGAUGUCGGCUCAUCGCAUCCUGGGGCUGUAGUCGGUCCCAAGGGUUGGGCUGUUCGCCCAUUAAAGCGGUACGCGAGCUGGGUUCAGAACGUCGUGAGACAGUUCGGUCCCUAUCCGUCGUGGGCGUAGGAAAUUUGAGAGGAGCUGUCCUUAGUACGAGAGGACCGGGAUGGACAUACCUCUGGUGUACCAGUUGUCGUGCCAACGGCAUAGCUGGGUAGCUAUGUGUGGACGGGAUAAGUGCUGAAAGCAUCUAAGCAUGAAGCCCCCCUCAAGAUGAGAUUUCCCAACUUCGGUUAUAAGAUCCCUCAAAGAUGAUGAGGUUAAUAGGUUCGAGGUGGAAGCAUGGUGACAUGUGGAGCUGACGAAUACUAAUCGAUCGAAGACUUAAUCAA